UCCCCUACUAACGGCGAGUGAAGCGGGAAGAGCUCAAGCUUAAAAUCUCCGUGUAAAUUUUACAUGGCGAAUUGUAGUCUAUAGAGGCGUGGUCAGCAUGGGCACUUGGAGUAAGUUCCUUGGAAGAVGACAGCAUGGAGGGUGAUACUCCCGUUCAUCUCCGAAUUGCUCGUGCGUACGGSCCGUUUUCUUUGAGUCGCGUUGUUUGAGAAUGCAGCGCAAAGUAGGUGGUAAAUUCCAUCUAAAGCURRAUAUUGGUGCGAGACCGAUAGCAUACAAGUMCCGUGAGGGAAAGAUGAAAAGAACUUUGAAAAGAGAGUUWAAGAGUACCUGAAACUGCUGAAAGGGAACCAAAUCGUUUCCAGUGUCUAUAAUCUGUGGUAUAUUUCAUUGGCGAGUGUGCGCGUGCGAAUACUAUGGCAGUGGCUUUUUGCUGCGCUUGGUGCUUGUGUUGUGUGUGCUUGCUAGUGCCCUGUACUACGGUGGGACGUCAAGGUCAGUUCGUAUGCUGCGGGAAAUGGCUACUGAGGAGGUAGGGCUUACGCUUGCGUUUGUCUGUUAUAUCUUGGUGGACGAGUUGUCGCGGUUGGGACUGAGGUGCCUAUAACGUGCUUGUGAGUGGGAUUGCGUUUCUGUGUGCGCCGUGUGCGGAUAGCUUGCUAUGCGUGUGUGGCUGUAUAUGGAUUGAUGCGAGCCUUAACUUAUUGCCGUUCGGGACGUUGACGAAAUGGAGCGAUUUGA
rnacentral:rRNA from 1 species